rnacentral:rRNA from 1 species
GUCUCUCAACAAUAGAUAUCUAAGCUCUUGCAUCGAUGAAGAAUGUAGCAAAAUGUGAUACUUGGUGUUUGGGCAAAGGCAAUGGUUUGAAUGUAAAGGAGUUAAGGAACAUGUGACAUCUUCAAGGAGGACUCUACAUUUCAAACUUAGGAAAUGUUGCAAAUGUUCAAGAUGCA